rnacentral:rRNA from 1 species
UCUACGGGAGGCUGCAGUGGGGAAUAUUGGGCAAUGGGCGCAAGCCUGACCCAGCAAUGCCGCGUGAAGGAAGAAGGCUUUCGGGUUGUAAACUUCUUUGACAGGGGAAGAGCAGAAGACGGUACCCUGAAAACAAGCCACGGCUAACUACGUGCCAGCAGCCGCGGUAAUACGUAGGUGGCAAGCGUUAUCCGGAAUUAUUGGGCGUAAAGAGGGAGCAGGCGGCAGCAAAGGUCUGUGGUGAAAGACUGAAGCUUAACUUCAGUAAGCCAUAGAAACCGGGCAGCUAGAGUGCAGGAGAGGAUCGUGGAAUUCCAUGUGUAGCGGUGAAAUGCGUAGAUAUCACGCAGAACUCCGAUUGCGAAGGCAGCAUACCGGCGCCCUACUGACGCUGAGGCACGAAAGCGUGGGUAUCGAACAGGAUUAGAUACCCGGGUAGUC